CUCGGGGUGGGGGUGUCCCUCAGCCCAGAUUGCAAGAAAGUGCAAGCCAGGCUGAGGGACCCCACUGGUGCACA
rnacentral:pre_miRNA from 1 species